UACGAAGGUCCCAAGCGUUAUCCGGAUUUAUUGGGUUUAAAGGGUGCGUAGGCGGACUAUUAAGUCAGUGGUGAAAUCUCCGGGCUUAACCCGGAAACUGCCAUUGAUACUAUUUGUCCUGAAUACUGUGGAGGUCAGCGGAAUAUGUCAUGUAGCGGUGAAAUGCUUAGAUAUGACACAGAACACCGAUUGCGAAGGCAGCUUACUAAAUUGUAACUGACGCUGAGGCACGAAAGCGUGGGGAUCAAACAGG
rnacentral:rRNA from 1 species